rnacentral:lncRNA from 1 species
GAUUGUCUUUGCAUAUAAGUGUUUGAAUCUAUGAAACACACAUUGACCACCACUUUUAUCAUUAAACCAUCAAUUUGGACUCUUCCAUUUGAGAUCAUGUGACAACAUCACUUCUUAUCUCAAGACCAAGUCUUCUUUUUUAAAAGAUAUCGAUUUGAGUUUUAUAUCACUAUCAACAUACUACUUUUUUUACAUGCUUUUUCUUUGAUCUUAGUUUUGUCUCUCAUUUGGUUGAUAAGGUCCAAUUCUAUUUUUAUGCAUUGUUCAUUGAGGUCUAGUUUAAAGAGUUAACAGUGAAAUGGGGGGGGGGGGGUCUUUUAUCUCAAUCAAGAUCAUAACCUCGCUGUUAUAUGUGAGGUUGUAUGGUGUCUCUUGUUUUUGUAGAUUGGGGUGUGAACCUAUAUGUCCAUGGUACUUCUAACAAAUCCUCAACCUAUUUUUCCUUGGUGACUCAAAAUCUCUUAUUGAACUCCAAAAGGAUUACUUUGUUAGCAAUUUCGACUUGUUCAUUUGUUUGUGGAUGUUCUAUUAAGUUGAUUACAUGACGAAUAAUGAGUCCCAAGUAGAAUUUGGCUAACCCUUUUUCAUUUAAUUGUAUUCUAUUGUUGGUGAUUAUCUUGUUGUGGAUGUUGUAGUAACACACAAUGUUCUUCCACACAAAAAUUUUUACUUAUUGAGUUAUUAUUUUCGCUUAGGAUUUGACUUCAAUUCAUUUUGUAAAGUAGUCCACAUACACAAGAAGGAAAUUGCAUUGUCCCUUGCCAGUUGGGAAGGGUUCUAGUAUGUCAAUUCCCCAUAUACAAAAUGGUUAAGGUGAAGUGAUGUGGUGGAGUCACUAUAGGUUGG